GGAUUGUAGCUCAGUGGUAGAGGGCUUGCCUACCAUGCGUGAGGCACUGGGUUCAAUCCCCGGCACCA
rnacentral:tRNA from 1 species